ensembl:snRNA U6 U6 spliceosomal RNA
GUGCUUGCUUUGGCAACACAUAUACUAAAAUUGAAACUAUACAGAGAAUAUUAGCACAGCCCCUGCACAAGGAUGACAUGCAAAUUCAUGAAGCAUUCCAUAUUUUU